rnacentral:rRNA from 1 species
CCGCACAAGCGGUGGAGCAUGUGGUUUAAUUCGAUGCAACGCGAAGAACCUUUACCUACUCUUGACAUCCAGAGAACUUAGCAGAGAUGCUUUGGUGCCUUUCGGGAACUCUGAGACAGGUGCUGCAUGGCUGUCGUCAGCUCGUGUUGUGAAAUGUUGGGUUAAGUCCCGCAACGAGCGCAACCCUUAUCCUUUGUUGCCAGCGAUUCGGUCGGGAACUCAAAGGAGACUGCCGGUGAUAAACCGGAGGAAGGUGGGGAUGACGUCAAGUCAUCAUGGCCCUUACGAGUAGGGCUACACACGUGCUACAAUGGCGCAUACAAAGAGAAGCGACCUCGCGAGAGCAAGCGGACCUCAUAAAGUGCGUCGUAGUCCGGAUCGGAGUCUGCAACUCGACUCCGUGAAGUCGGAAUCGCUAGUAAUCGUGGAUCAGAAUGCCACGGUGAAUACGUUCCCGGGCCUUGUACACACCGCCCGUCACACCAUGGGAGUGGGUUGCAAAAGAAGUAGGUAGCUUAACCUUCGGGAGGGCGCUUACCACUUUGUGAUUCAUGACUGGGGUGAAGUCGUAACAAGGUAACC